CCUCAAAACUCGAACACAGAAUACAGAACACAGGCGUAACACAGAACACAGACUUCAUGUGUUCUGUGUUACGUCUGUGUUCUGUAUUCUGUGUUCGGGUGUUGCGUAUACAAAAUGUUAGUACUCUGUACAAUUUCCCAGACCCUAUGUCAAUUACAAAGCAUAACUUUCAAGACUGGUGUAAACUGUAGUUUCAGUUUCUUUUGAUUGAAAGCUUUUGUUACAAGCUGAGUGUAAAUUAUACUCUCAUGCCAUGUCUCUUUUCCAAAUGUAUGUGUCUUUGUCCUGUCUCAGUAACAGACCAGCCAGAUCGGAUUCAGCCAGAAACAGAAGUCUACUGUCGAACUGACCCACCUGUGACCUGAAGAAUGGAACCUGACUGAAAGUGCUGACCUGGUAUACAGCUGUCUAUGAGCCCUCCAUUUCAAUGAGAAUGCUGCACGAGACCAGGCUACCACGUCCACAGAUCCCCUCUACAGGAUCCAUUACUCCAAUGCCAUGAAGAGGGAGGCAAGAGUGAAGCCCGUAUAAAAUGAGGCAACAUCUGGAUGCGUUGAAGACGUGGGCCUGAGAAGGAGGGGGUGAUCACCAGCUGCAUCUUCCGCUUCAACGCAGGGGAGGCAGUCUGAAGCCCAUGUAU